ncrna:unclassified sequences TwoGGAY RNA
UAUCGGACGGUGGUGAUAUUUUCUCGAAAAGUGCUGAAAAUCAGGGUGGAGCGAACAGGACGUUCGCGACAGGCGGACGUUGCCAUGGAUGGCAACUGGAGCCGUGCCCGUGCGGAUUAGAACCGAUAUCUCACUUUUCGUCAGAAAAUUCCCACCGGGAGACC